UGGAGACAUUAAUAGUACCUCCCAUAAAAGAUCAUUGUGAGGAGGUGUCCAGUCAAGAAAUAUUUAUGGGCCCACUCCUGUGUGCCAGGAGCUGUAUUUAAAUAAGGAUUAGAUGAGAGAAUUUAUAGAAGAGUUGACAUGGUGUGUCCCAUAUUGCAACCCCCCCGACACUGGCAGGGGAAAGAGUGUUAGGCAGUCAGGAGGCAGGGCUGAUCUGGGAGUGAGUGUACCGGCCCAGGGGGAGUGAGCAGACUGUGCGUGAGGGGCGGGGACUGUGCUGACCUUGCUGAAUUCACAGGGCUGAACCCGUGAGGGGGAGCCAGGAAGCAGGCUGGACUUUAAAGUCUGGAAUGGAAGGGGAAUUCUGGUGUCAUCAUCAGUGUCCCAGUGCCAGAAUCCAAAGCUGCAGACACAGGCGCUCCCUAAAGUGACGAGUCAUUCCGCCCGGGAGAAAUGACACCGGGGGGGGCCCCCCUGUUGAGAACCACGGGCCAUGAGAAGAACACUGUGACUUGUCAGGGUCCCACUGACUUCAAACGGGAUUAGGGUUGGAGGCCCAAGUCCCCUGCCUCACUAUCUGAAAAUCCCAUGAAAGAGCCGGAGCCUCGUUCUGGGCAGCAGUGGACAAUGGCUCUUUGCCACCAGCCAGUGAAGAGUAAGUGAGAGCAAUGAUGAGGGCAGAGGUCUGAGGGGUCUGUGCCUGUGGGGGUCUCAGAUGGCAUGGAGAGGAGGGUCAAGGCUGGGAGGUCACAGUCAGGCAAGAUGAGCACGUGGAGGACUGGGGGCCCAUUCCCUCCGGACCCAGCCGGGCCUUGACCCUGGCUGCCCUGGGCUGAGCCUUGCUCUGGUCUUCCUGGUGGAUUAUUCUGGAGGACUUCCCAGGGAAGUUUGGAAGAAGCCCCUCCCCUGCCUUCAUGCCCCAGGAUGAGGGAGCCCAGGAUAGCAGUUUUUUCAAUCACAUGAGCCUCUCAGGCAGGCUGGCUCCUUUGGUGCCCAGGAGGCUGUGCCACAGUGCCCACAGCAUGAAGCAGGGGACCCCAACGUGCUGUGGGAGGACUGGGCUGAGAAGCAAAUCCUGAGAUAUAGCUUCUAGCUUUCCACCCAUGUAAGUUAGAAACCACAGCUGCAAGCUCAGUGCACUCCUUCCUCCAGCUCUCAGUAGUGUGUGUUACAUAAGAGGCAGCUGCAACUCAACAAAUCAUUACAAAACGAAUCCUAUGUAACCACCACCUGGGAUUCCCAGGUGGCUCAGUGGUAAAGAAUCCACCUGCCAAUGCUUGAGACGCAGGAGAUGUGGGUUUGAUCCCUGGUCAGGAAGAUCCCCUGAAGAAGGAAAUGGCAACCCACUCCAGUAUUCUUGCCUGGUAAAUCCCAUGGACAGACAAGCCUGGUGGGCUAAUGUGCAUAGGGUUGCAAAGAGUCAGACACGACUGAUGGACUGAGCAUGCAUGCAACCACCACCUAAGCCAUGAGGGGACCUUGGCCAACUCCCCUUCAUCCCUCUCUGAUAUCUCUUUCCUCCCCUAAAGUCGACAGUUAUGGCACAAUGAAGUGACCCAGAAUG